rnacentral:rRNA from 1 species
UACGGAGGGUGCAAACGUUGCUCGGAAUCAUUGGGCGUAAAGCGCACGUAGGUGGCUUGUUAAGUCGGGUGUGAAAUCCCUGGGCUCAACCCAGGAAGUGCACUCGAAACUGGCGAGCUUGAGUACUGAAGAGGGUCGCGGAAUUCCCGGUGUAGAGGUGAAAUGCGCAGAUAUCAGGAGGAACACCGAUGGCGAAGGCAGGUCUCUGGGCCACUACUGACGCUGAGAAGCGAAAGCAUGGGGAGCGAACAGG